rnacentral:rRNA from 1 species
AUUGAACGCUGGCGGCAGGCUUAACACAUGCAAGCCGAGCGGAGCGAGGGUGCUUGCACCUUAGCUUAGCGGCGGACGGGUGAGUAAUGCUUAGGAAUCUGCCUAUUAGUGGGGGACAACAUUCCGAAAGGGAUGCUAAUACCGCAUACGCCCUACGGGGGAAAGCAGGGGAUCUUCGGACCUUGCGCUAAUAGAUGAGCCUAAGUCGGAUUAGCUAGUUGGUGGGGUAAAGGCCUACCAAGGCGACGACCUGUAGCGGGUCUGAGAGGAUGAUCCGCCACACUGGGACUGAGACACGGCCCAGACUCCUACGGGAGGUAGCAGUGGGGAAUAUUGGACAAUGGGCGGAAGCCCGAUCCAGCCAUGCCGCGUGUGUGAAGAAGGCCUUUUGGUUGUAAAGCACUUUAAGCGAGGAGGAGGCUACUUAGAUUAAUACUCUGGGAUAGUGGACGUUACUCGCAGAAUAAGCACCGGCUAACUCUGUGCCAGCCGCCGCCGUAA